AUGACGUCUAGCGAGGGAAAUUACCACCGUAGAGGUCCUUACUUUGAUGAUACUAAUUUUGCUAGUUGGAAGCAUAAGAUGAAAAUGCAUAUUCUUGGACAUAACCCCACUGUUUGGUCUAUUGUGUGUAUUGACUUGCAAGGUGAAUUCUUUGAUGGGAGAGAACCAAACCGUGAAGCUACCACGGAAGAGUUGAAGAUGCUGCAAUACAAUGCUCAAGCUUGUGAUAUUCUCUUCAACGGAUUGUGCCCUGAAGAAUUCAACAAAAUCAGCCAUCUUGAGAAUGCAAAGGAAAUUUGGGAUACUUUUAUUGACAUGCACGAAGGUACCGACUUCGUCAAGGAAUCCAAAUUGGAUGUGCUUCAAAGUCAACUUGACAAGUUCAAAAUGAAGGAUGGUGAAGGCGUCGCUGAAAUGUACUCUAGGCUUGCUCUCAUCACAAAUGAGAUUGCCGGCUUAGGAAGUGAAGAGAUGACCGACAAAUUCAUCAUCAAGAAGAUCCUAAGAGCCUUGGAUGGAAAAUAUGAUACCAUGUGCACAUUGAUCCAAAUGAUGCCCAAUUACAAGAAUCUCAAGCCAACGGAAGUCAUUGGAAGGAUUGUUGCUCAUGAGAUGUCACUCAAGGAUAAGGAAGAGCUCCACAACAAGUCAAGUGGUGCUUACAAAGCCUCAUGUGAAGCUCCCACAUCAUCAAGUGAGAAACAAAAUUUCAAUGAAGAAUUGAGCCUAAUGGUGAAGAACUUCAACAAGUUCUACAAGAGCAGAAGCAAGGAAAGAAGUUCCAAGUCAAGGUCCUAUAGUGACAAAAGAUCUUCGAGUCGUGAGCGUAAUUGCUACAAUUGUGGAAGAACCGAACACUAUUCCAAUGAGUGUACGGCUCCCUACAAAAGAAGAGAAGAUUCUCCAAAAAGAAGUAGAAGAGAAGAAUCACCACCAAAAGAAAGGAAGAGUAGAGAUGAUCUUUAUGAACGAAGAACAUCCCGGAGAAGCAAGGAUUCGGAAAGGAAGGACAAAUCAUCAAAGAGCUACACAAAACAAAGACAUCAAGCUCAUGUUGGUGAAUGGGUAUCCGGCUGUGACUCUGACCAUCACUCCGAGAGAAGCUAUCACUCUGACUCUGAAUAUACUCAAGAUGAAGGUGUUGCCGGUCUAGCACUUGUGUCAACCAACUCCUAUGACGUAUUUGACUCACCAAAUGAAGGAAUUGGAAGAUGCUUCAUGGCUAAAGGCCCAAAGGUAUCACAUCCCGAGUAUGUUGAUUUCAAUAGUGAUGAAGAUGCCUUGUUAGGUGAUGAUGAUUUACUUGUUGACAACUCUAGUGAUGAAUACUAUGAUGAAACGUCAAUUAAUCAUGCUAAUCAGGAUAAAACGACAAUGAUAAGGAGAAGAUUGAGCACCUAA
rnacentral:rRNA from 1 species